rfam:Picea glauca, whole genome shotgun sequence.
GUAAUGGUGUCUUUAGACACCACCUUAUGAUCUUAAAAAUAUUAU